AAGUCGUAACAAGGUUUGGAUACAGAAAUGACUACCUUCCACAAGGUUCAUUUGCUGAAGCCUUAGCAGCCGCUUGAAUAGAGCGGUGCCCAGAGCGACUUAUUGCAAAUAAAUAAUUACUGGAGAUUAAAUGCUAGUAGAGGAACGAUUGUGACAGAUCGAUCUUCACGCAACACUGCUUAAUUGCUGGAAAUUCCUAAAGCCGACUCGUACCAAGUCUCUUGCUAUGGUUAAUAUAUCCCGUAGGAAGUGAUGGCCGCUGUAUCUAUUCAACACGAAUGGAUGUAGCGGGGAUGGAUAUCUUGGUUCUC
rnacentral:misc_RNA from 1 species